rnacentral:lncRNA from 10 species
CCUCACCUCCAUUUUCUAUGGUAUCAGAAGUGGGAUCUGAAGUACAGCUUCUAACAACUCCCAGGAGUGCUGAGUGACCAAGCAAGGUACCCAUUGGGUUCAUUGUGUUCAUUGCUCUCUCGGAGCAGCUGGGGAUGAUGGUAAGUUUUCUCUCGGAUUCCAAAGCUCCGUGAAUUUGUGUAUUCGGCUCUCCAAUUUUCUUUGCGCAAAUUUUUGAUCCAAACUGGGUUGGAAUUCAUGACAAAAACUGGACUCGGUCCGGGAUACUGACUUGGAUCCAGUUACAGGCGUCUUACUUCUGACUGGGUCAGAAAGAAACCAGUAGUAAAUGGCAGUAUUGCAAGGGGUGUAAAAUUUAGCUUUUGGAAAUUUGCAAGUAGUUUUGUGUUCUACGCCUUUGUUUUAUUUUUUCUUGUGCACACA